GAGCGUAGCUUCCUUGUCGUGUGGCCUCAGUCCUUCGCCGUCCCUCGCCGUCCUUCGCCAUCGCACGCCACCGCACCCCAUCUCUCGAAAUCUGCAGACAUCUUGAUUUUUCCCACGCUGUCUGUCAGGUCUCCGCCGCCACUCGACGCCAGGGCGCCGGGUGAGUCCACAGCAGGGCGCAUGGUCGGCUCCACUCUCACCAUCGGGGGAAACUGAGGCCCCGGGGAAGGCGGCCAGAGAGGUCAGGCCCUGUCCUUGGUGCAGUGUCUCGUCCUCUUUGCCGGAGUGAGCCCCCCAGGAUUCGCGUGUCCUCGGGAAAGACACUGGCAGGCCUUGUGGGCUGUGCUGCACCUCGGACGGCUUCGCACCAGCCAGCGCCCUCUCUCUCCUGCAGCACUCUGAUCUGCACCCCCUGAGGGGCUUCCACUGUCCGCGGGGUGAGAAUGCCCCUGGGAGUGUCACAUGACUGCCGCCCCAUGUGUGUGAGAGGCGUCCUCUGGGAGAGCAUGGAUCCUGAGGUCCCAGAGUCAUGUGCUGUUCCUGGGGCUUGGAUGAUGUAGGGGAAGCAAGGUGAAAGUGGUAUCCCGUGGUUCCACGUUCUGUCCUGCUGUGGGGCUGUCCCUCACAUGCUUUCAGUGGCUGUUGCAGAGGAAGAGCCUCCGGAAAUCUGCGUGGGUCUCAGCCUUAGAUCCAAGGACAGUCCAAGGAAGUCCUAAGACCAUGGAGUUGGUGAUCUGGGAUCUGGGUUUGCUGAUAUUUCUCACCGUGAAUCUCUUGGUGGUGUUUGUGGGCACGAGAGGGGCAGAGAAUGGAGAGUGAGGCUACCACAUGAAGCGUCACCAGAGCUGCUCCCUGCUGCCUGCUCAGAGCACCCCGGAUCCACUGUUCAAUCUGCACAAGAUUCGGGGUCCAGACAUGGGAGACUUCAGCUGCCUCAGAGGACCGUGGACAGGGAAGGCCAGCCUCGCAUCCCUCUGUCCAUGCCUGGAAUGACUUUAAUAACCAAGAGUUUUAUUUUUGAAUUUGUAGCUGUCGUUCACUUUUUACCCACCCAUUCAAUAAACCUUACAGAAUUGC
rnacentral:lncRNA from 1 species